rnacentral:rRNA from 1 species
UACGGAGGGGGCGAGCGUUAUUCGGAAUUAUUGGGCGUAAAGGGCGCGUAGGCGGCUUGAUGUGUCAAAGGUGAAAUCCCUCGGCUCAACUGAGGAACUGCCUUUGAAACUGUCUGGCUUGAGGCCGGGAGGGGGUAGCGGAAUUCCCAGUGUAGCGGUGAAAUGCGUAGAUACUGGGAGGAACACCGGUGGCGAAGGCGGCUACCUGGACCGGUUCUGACGCUGAUGCGCGAAAGCGUGGGUAGCAAACAGG